CCCAAGAGAUCGGGAUAACACCUGGAAACAGAUGCUAAUACCGGAUAACAACAGAUGAUGCCUAUCAACUGUUUAAAAGAUGGUUCUGCUAUCACUCUUGGAUGGACCUGCGGUGCAUUAGCUAGUUGGUAGGGUAACGGCCUGCCAAGGCGAUGAUGCAUAGCCGAGUUGAGAGACUGAUCGGCCACAUUGGGACUGAGACACGGCCCAAACUCCUACGGGAGGCAGCAGGC
rnacentral:rRNA from 1 species